AGAGUUUGAUCCUGGCUCAGGACGAACGCUGGCGGCGUGCCUAAUACAUGCAAGUAGAACGCUGAAGCUUGGUGCUUGCACCGAGCGGAUGAGUUGCGAACGGGUGAGUAACGCGUAGGUAACCUGCCUGGUAGCGGGGGAUAACUAUUGGAAACGAUAGCUAAUACCGCAUAAGAGUAGAUGUUGCAUGACAUUUGCUUAAAAGGUGCAAUUGCAUCACUACCAGAUGGACCUGCGUUGUAUUAGCUAGUUGGUGAGGUAACGGCUCACCAAGGCAACGAUACAUAGCCGACCUGAGAGGGUGAUCGGCCACACUGGGACUGAGACACGGCCCAGACUCCUACGGGAGGCAGCAGUAGGGAAUCUUCGGCAAUGGACGGAAGUCUGACCGAGCAACGCCGCGUGAGUGAAGAAGGUUUUCGGAUCGUAAAGCUCUGUUGUAAGAGAAGAACGAGUGUGAGAGUGGAAAGUUCACACUGUGACGGUAUCUUACCAGAAAGGGACGGCUAACUACGUGCCAGCAGCCGCGGUAAUACGUAGGUCCCGAGCGUUGUCCGGAUUUAUUGGGCGUAAAGCGAGCGCAGGCGGUUAGAUAAGUCUGAAGUUAAAGGCUGUGGCUUAACCAUAGUACGCUUUGGAAACUGUUUAACUUGAGUGCAAGAGGGGAGAGUGGAAUUCCAUGUGUAGCGGUGAAAUGCGUAGAUAUAUGGAGGAACACCGGUGGCGAAAGCGGCUCUCUGGCUUGUAACUGACGCUGAGGCUCGAAAGCGUGGGGAGCAAACCAGGAUUAGAUACCCUGGUAGUCCACGCCGUAAACGAUGA
rnacentral:rRNA from 1 species